rnacentral:rRNA from 1 species
GAUGAACGCUGGCGGCGUGCCUAAUACAUGCAAGUCGAGCGAACAGACGAGGAGCUUGCUCCUCUGACGUUAGCGGCGGACGGGUGAGUAACACGUGGAUAACCUACCUAUAAGACUGGGAUAACUUCGGGAAACCGGAUCUAAUACCGGAUAAUAUAUUGAACCGCAUGGUUCAAUAGUGAAAGACGGUUUUGCUGUCACUUAUAGAUGUAUCCGCGCCGCAUUAGCUAGUUGGUAAGGUAACGGCUUACCAAGGCAACGAUGCGUAGCCGACCUGAGAGGGUGAUCGGCCACACUGGAACUGAGACACGGUCCAGACUCCUACGGGAGGCAGCAGUAGGGAAUAUUCCGCAAUGGGCGAAAGCCUGACGGAGCAACGCCGCGUGAGUGAUGAAGGUCUUCGGAUCGUAAAACUCUGUUAUUAGGGAAGAACAAAUGUGUAAGUAACUAUGCACGUCUUGACGGUACCUACUCAGAAAGCCACGGCUAACUACGUG